rnacentral:lncRNA from 1 species
UCCUUCCCAUACAAAAAAGAACUUCAUAAGAAGGUGGAUGCCAAACUGGGAAAGACCUUAUGUGGAAGGCCUUAUCUGGAAAAACGUUGAUUUUGAUCAGAAGGGAUAACAAGGACAUACCUAAUCCUAUGGGUUUAGAUUCAAUAAAAAAAUAUAUUUCAAAAAAAAGAAGAAGAAAAGAAAAGAAAAAAGAAAAUAAGAGGCCAGGGUGAAAACCUGCAAAAGGGCGCCUUGAGACCAAAUGGGAUUUGAGUUGAAAACCU